UACGUAGGCAGCGAGCGUUGUUCGGAGUUACUGGGCGUAAAGGGUGCGCAGGCGGUGGAGCAAGUCUGUUGUGAAAUCUCCCGGCUUAACCGGGAGGGUGCGGCGGAAACUGUUCUGCUGGAGUGAGGGAGAGGCAAGCGGAAUUCCUGGUGUAGCGGUGAAAUGCGUAGAUAUCAGGAAGAACACCCGUGGUGCAGACGGCUUGCUGGACCUCCACUGACGCUGAGGCACGAAAGCGUGGGGAGCGAACAGG
rnacentral:rRNA from 1 species